UGUCGCAUAAUAACAAAGUCGUAACGAUAUUCGCGUACACGAACCGGUUCGUGCAGGUUGCUCUGAUCUAUUCUACCAAGAACAGAUAUGUGCCUUUUGUCGUACCCGCCUAUUCAUUAAGUUGAUGGAUCUCAUGCUUAACGAAGAUAUUCCAGAUAUCAGGCCAACAGAAAACUGCUGCACAAGUAGUGAAGCAGAUGCAUUGCCAUGAUGGAGGACUCAGGACUAGUUGUGCCAGACUUCUAGUUUCUAGUAUCAAACAGGCUUGCGCAAUCUUCUUGAAACUGCUUGAGACCACUCCCUGGUGACCGUAGAGUCGGACGGCAUAAACUCACGGUGAGCAUUUCCUGACGGUCGAAGGAAACCGUCACAAGUGUCAUGCUCUCGUCCGUGUUGCUGUCACAGACCUUCCAGGAGGAGUAUCGUAUUGUGGCUUGUAUUGCAGAUCACUUAUGACAUCGACUCACCCAAUCUCACCGGCAAACUUGGGAUUACAUCGGGCUGUUAUGAGAUUUCACCUGGCCGAGCGCAUGACCAAUAAGUGAACGUGUGUCUGUGAAGGCUUCAGAAUACAAAGAUCACAAGUUUCCUAGUGGCAAUAUAUAACAGGACAAAAAACCCUAAGAGAUGUAUGUUCAAGUGAGACACUGAGUCAUCCUGAAGUCAUAUUGCAACACUCGCAACAAUAUUGGAAUGAUCUCAUCGUUUUUCUGCAUUAGCAGCUUCCGUGGCGAGAAUCUAUGGCCUGCUUUCUUCGUUCCUGGAAGAAUUGAGAAGUAAAUGAAAUCAGUCAAAUUUCUCGGUUUCGGAAGGCAUCUAUAUGACUUUUACACAUAAGGGCAAAAGUUACAGGGGCACGAGCGGAAGCAACUUCUUCGGUGACGACUAAGACCUGCCUCGGCCAUACUGGUUUACAAAUCUCUGUAGACUUUUUUGGGGUUUUGUCUGGUGAUGCCACACACCUGCUAAUAUAAAAAAAAAAAAAAAAAAA
rnacentral:lncRNA from 11 species